CUUCAGUCAGUCGCAUUGACAGAGUUUGAAGAAAGUGCGCUGCGUGUGUGACUGCGAACUGGGUGCUGCGAUGUGUGAGUGAAUGCGUUCUUGUUGACUUUGUCACGGAAUUGGAAAACAUAGAGAUUCCUCAAUUCCGUGCAUCCUUUCAACCGACCAACCACCAACAAACAAACAACUGCUACCACACCACCACCGUCAUCGGAACCAAUAGAUUGAUCGUCUCUCCUGUUCCUGGGGGUGAAUGCGGAAGGAUGAAUGCGUAACCAAGGACGACGGCAGGCAAAUCAACAAUCUCGACUGGUGUGAGAAUGUGUUUGUGAGGGACCAGUAAGCAAACAAGCGAGAGCGAGAGAACGUGCGUGCGUGCAAGGAUAUCGUGUGAAUGAGUAUUUUAAGUGCAUUUUGUAAAGAAAAACUCCUGCAAUUUGAAAAUCCUGUCCGCAAAAUCGUCU